AUGUCUAAAACCUGUGAGAUUCGAACCAAAUCUCCACGUUCCAAACAGGACGUACGAGAUUUGCGUUUUGUCUGCUUUUAGAGCGAUCGAGGAAAAGAGAAAUAUGCAGUAAGAUGAUAGACCUUUAUUUCUUCAGUUCAUGUUGUGCUUUCCUGAUUAGAGGAGCAGUCCUCUUCAGAGGAUGAAUCCUUGUCUUGUCAUGCUGUUCUUAUUGUUUGUUACAGAAACC
rnacentral:lncRNA from 7 species